rnacentral:rRNA from 1 species
AAACAACUCUCGGCAACGGAUAUCUCGGCUCUCGCAUCGAUGAAGAACGUAGCGAAAUGCGAUACUUGGUGUGAAUUGCAGAAUCCCGUGAACUAUCGAGUCUUUGAAAGCAAGUUGCGCCCAAAGCCAUCCGGUUAAGGGCACGUCUGCCUGGGCAUCACGCAU